ensembl:lncRNA
UAAAAAUUUUAACGCCGUUAAAUUUGGUUUGCGUUAACGCCGUUAAUAACGCGUUUAACUGACAGCUCUAGUUUCAAUGGAGAGAAAGUAAUUAUUUUCUGAUCCCAGUCUUUAUAUGCCCCGGAUUACACAUACGUUUGUGGAUUUAAAUGAUAAUAUUUCAUGUCAAGAGAUUGACCGUUUAUUGUGCAAUUGUUCAGUUAAAGGCUGUAGAGAAAACACAAUGAGAAAGACUACAUGACUCGUAUGUGCCGUCACGCUCCCUGCGACUGGCGUGGACAAGACCGCCAAUCUCCCCAUCGGCAUAAAUGAAACUCCUCACAUGCCCCAACUUAUAAUGGUUUUCACCUCUUUUGAUGCUUUUAUCCUCCCCUUGGAAAAAACCUAACAUCAUCAAUCUUCUUCGCAAAUUUUUUUAGUUUUCUUUGCAUGAAGAAUUAUCAUUCAAAAGGGCUCUACCGGAAGGGGCGUGACUUCGCCACUCUAUAGCUCAGGGUACAGCUCUAUGUAUAGGACGUUAUUUUGUGAUGCAUCUAUAGACUGUAUGAAAUAUGCAACAGCCAACUUACAUGUUUUUGUAACAUAUCUCGGUCCUUAAUGCAGUACAUUGGAAUGUAUAAUUCCAAUAUUUAUGUAUCUAUAUCUCCCUCUCUUGUGUGGCUUUAACUGUAUGCUUAUUAUCACAUUCAUCUCUUGUACUCUUUACUUACUUAAUGGAUUUAUGUGUGUGUUACUAUCGUGUUAUUUAUACAUUUAACAGAUGAGAGUGUUGAAUGCGCUUUUCAUAUUUUUUUAUAUAAAUUAUAUAUGUAUAAUGUAUCAAUAUAGUGGGAGAAUAAUUUGUACAGAUCAUUCACUAUGUAUGUAAAGCAGUGGAAAAUAAUGCCCAUUUGUGAUUGGGUGAUUAUGAUUAUAAUUAGGAAAUAGUUGAGUGAAAGGUUUUAGUUUUAUAUCAUCCUUUAAAUUACCAUAUCAAAUAUCCCUGAGUUGCUCUGUUUAGAAAGGUAUUUGGAUUCAUGAAAAUAUUGUGAUAUAAAAGUCCCUUUCUUACUUCAUAAA